rnacentral:snRNA from 2 species
AAAAAGGGCAGGCCUUAGUUAAGGCGUCAAUGGACGGUCAGGUUCAUUCGCUGCCGUCCUUGCGGUGAAUCGCGAUCAGGAGAUUUGCCCUGCAUAAUUUCUGAGAAGCCGCGUUGGAAUGGGCUCGAGAGGCCAAUUCCACCGG